rnacentral:rRNA from 1 species
UACGUAGGGUCCGAGCGUUGUCCGGAAUUAUUGGGCGUAAAGGACUCGUAGGCGGUUCGUCACGUCGGGAGUGAAAACUCGGGGCUUAACCCCGAGCCUGCUUCCGAUACGGGCAGACUAGAGGUAGGCAGGGGAGAGCGGAACUCCUGGUGUAGCGGUGGAAUGCGCAGAUAUCAGGAGGAACACCUAUAGCGAAGGCAGCUUGCUGGGACGUUACUGACGCUAAGGCGCGAAAGCGUGGGGAGCGAACAGG